rnacentral:rRNA from 1 species
GACGAACGCUGGCGGCGUGCUUAACACAUGCAAGUCGAACGGAAAGGCCCUGCUUUUGUGGGGUGCUCGGGUGGCGAACGGGUGAGUAACACGUGAGUAACCUGCCCUUGACUUUGGGAUAACUUCAGGAAACUGGGGCUAAUACCGGAUAGGAGCUCCUGCUGCAUGGUGGGGGUUGGAAAGUUUCGGCGGUUGGGGAUGGACUCGCGGCUUAUCAGCUUGUCGGUGGGGUAGGGGCUUACCAAGGCUUUGACGGGUAGCCGGCCUGAGAGGGUGACCGGCCACAUUGGGACUGAGAUACGGCCCAGACUCCUACGGGAGGCAGCAGUGGGGAAUAUUGCACAAUGGGCGGAAGCCUGAUGCAGCAACGCCGCGUGCGGGAUGACGGCCUUCGGGUUGUAAACCGCUUUCGCCUGUGACGAAGCGUGAGUGACGGUAAUGGGUAAAGAAGCACCGGCUAACUACGUG